rnacentral:rRNA from 1 species
GACGAACGCUGGCGGCGUGCCUAAUACAUGCAAGUUGAGCGCUGAAGGUUGGUACUUGUACCAACUGGAUGAGCAGCGAACGGGUGAGUAACGCGUGGGGAAUCUGCCUUUGAGCGGGGGACAACAUUUGGAAACGAAUGCUAAUACCGCAUAAAAACUUUAAACACAAGUUUUAAGUUUGAAAGAUGCAAUUGCAUCACUCAAAGAUGAUCCCGCGUUGUAUUAGCUAGUUGGUGAGGUAAAGGCUCACCAAGGCGAUGAUACAUAGCCGACCUGAGAGGGUGAUCGGCCACAUUGGGACUGAGACACGGCCCAAACUCCUACGGGAGGCAGCAGUAGGGAAUCUUCGGCAAUGGACGAAAGUCUGACCGAUCAACGCCGCGUGAGUGAAGAAGGUUUUCGGAUCGUAAAACUCUGUUGGUAGAGAAGAACGUUGGUGAGAGUGGAAAGCUCAUCAAGUGACGGUAACUACCCAGAAAGGGACGGCUAACUACGU